GACGAACGCUGGCGGCGUGCCUAAUACAUGCAAGUAGAACGCUGAAGGAGGAGCUUGCUUCUCUGGAUGAGUUGCGAACGGGUGAGUAACGCGUAGGUAACCUGCCUGGUAGCGGGGGAUAACUAUUGGAAACGAUAGCUAAUACCGCAUAAUAGUAGAUGUUGCAUGACAUUUGCUUAAAAGGUGCAAUUGCAUCACUACCAGAUGGACCUGCGGUGUAUUAGCUAGUUGGUGGGGUAACGGCUCACCAAGGCGAGGAUACAUAGCCGACCUGUGAGGGUGGUCGGCCGCACUGGGACGGUGACACGGCCCAGACUCCUACGGGAGGCGGCAGUAGGGAAUCUGCGGCAAUGGACGGAAGUCUUACCGAGCAACGCCGCGUGAGUGAGGAAGGUUUUCGGAUCGUAGAGCUCGGUUGUAAGGGAGGAACGAGUGUGAGAGUGGAAAGUUCACACUGUGACGGUAACUUACCAGAAAGAAACGGCUAACUACGUG
rnacentral:rRNA from 1 species